CGGCUCCUGCUCCAGCAACACGACGUGAUCCACCAGCUAGGAGGGAUGCCAAUAAGCUCAUGCAGUCAUAGCCUCCAGGAAUACAUCACAUAUUAGGAAGACGGGCCCUGAUGGCACAGACCUAUGGUGGUGGACUGCACCUUCAAUGAAGUCAAGCUUUUGAACUACAGAGGGAAAGAAGUACAGAGUACUCUUUUUCUACCCGCUGGACUUCACUUUCAUGUGACCCAUGGAGAUCAUCACUUUUAGGAACUAUGUUGAGGACUUCCACAAGCUGGGCUACAAGGUUCUCGGAGUGUCUGUGGAAUGUCAGUUCAUGAAAGGCUGGCUGUGCAUAAAAGAUAAGACAAAACUAAAAAGCCAUAAAAGAGU